UUCUUCUUGUAGUUUCUAAGUGUGGUGAUUGGGUUUUCACCCUCAUGUGACACGCGCCUCCCUCAAACCUUGUUAUAGUGUCUGCCCAUUACCUGUCUGACA
ensembl:snoRNA